UACGGGGGGGGGCAAGCGUUUGUUCGGAAUUACUGGGCGUAAAGGGCUCGUAGGUGGCCAACUAAGUCGGACGUGAAAUCCCUCGGCUUAACCGGGGAACUGCGUCCGAUACUGGUUGGCUUGAGUUCGGGAGAGGUGAGUGGAACUGCGAGUGUAGAGGUGAAAUUCGUAGAUAUUCGCAAGAACACCAGUGGCGAAGGCGGCUCACUGGCCCGAUACUGACGCUGAGGCACGAAAGCGUGGGGAGCAAACAGG
rnacentral:rRNA from 1 species